rnacentral:rRNA from 1 species
UGGGGAAUUUUGCGCAAUGGGGGAAACCCUGACGCAGCAACGCCGCGUGAGUGAUGAAGGCCUUCGGGUCGUAAAGCUCUGUCAGUGGGAAAGAAGUGUAAGGGUGCUAAAAUCAUCUUUACUUGACGGUACCCACAAAGGAAGCACCGGCUAACUCCGUGCCAGCAGCCGCGGUAAUACGGAGGGUGCGAGCGUUGUUCGGAAUUAUUGGGCGUAAAGCGCGUGUAGGCGGCUCCUUAAGUCUGAUGUGAAAGCCCCGGGCUCAACCUGGGAAGUGCAUUGGAAACUGGGGAACUUGAAUACGGGAGAGGGUAGUGGAAUUCCUGGUGUAGGAGUGAAAUCCGUAGAUAUCAGGAGGAACACCGGUGGCGAAGGCGGCUACCUGGACCGAUAUUGACGCUGAGACGCGAAAGCGUGGGGAGCAAACAGG